GCCGGGCAUGGUGGCACAUGCUUGUGGUCCCAGCUACUAGGGAGGCUGAGGUAGGAUGAUUGCUUGAGCCCAGGAGGUCGAGGCUGCAGUGAGCCAAGAUUGCACCACUGCACUCCAGCCUGGGCAACAGAGAAAGAUCCUGUCUCAA
ensembl:misc_RNA Metazoa_SRP Metazoan signal recognition particle RNA